rnacentral:rRNA from 1 species
UUAAUUCUCCCGGUGAUAAAAAUUGUUUGAACCCCCCAUGGGUCCAAAAAGGUUGAAAGCCCGUGUUCUUCCUGUGUCACUUUAUAAGGUGUGAAUUCCGCUCUUGCCAUUUAGCUUUAUUUCGUUAAAGGUUCACCGCGCUCUUACCCCAAGGGCAGCGAUCCAUACCGACCUGGAAGAAGGUUAUCCGGCCCACACUGGGAAUUGAGACCCGGUCCCAGAACUUCCUUACCGGGAGCCACCCAUAGGGAAAUCUUUCCCCAAUGGGCGAAACCCUGGCCGGAGCAACGCCGCGUGGACUGAUGAAGUUCUUCGGAUCGUAAAACUCUGUUAUUAGGGAAAGAACAUAGGUGUAAGUACCUGUGCACAUCUGGACGGUACCUAAUCAGAAACCACGGCUAACUACGUGCCACAGCCGCGGUAAUACGUAGUUGCAAGCGUUAUCCGGAAUUAUUGGGCGUAAAGCGCGCGUAGCCGGUUUUUUAAGUCUGAUGUGAAAGCCCACGGCUCAACCGUGGAGGGUCAAUUGGAAACUGGAAAACUUGAGUGCAGAAGAGGAAAGUGGAAUUCCAUGUGUACGGUGAAGUGCGCAGAGAUAUGGAGGAACACCAGUGGCGAAGGCGACUUUCUGGUCUGUAACUGACGCUGAUGUGCGAAAGCGUGGGGAUCAAACAGGAUUAGAUACCCUGGUAGUCCACGCCGUAAACGAUGAGUGCUAAGUGUUAGGGGUUUCCGCCCCUUAGUGCUGCAGCUAACGCAUUAAGCACUCCGCCUGGGGAGUACGACCGCAAGGUUG